AGGUAACAAGAUCUUGGUAACAUUGAAUUUCAGUCAUUGAUUUGUAUUGAUGUCAAUUGGAGAUAUUAACUGAAUUUACACAAUUAUUGAUUCUGAAGUAGGAAUAAAUACUAGUAGUGAAUUGUGCUUUAGUCUAAUGUUUAAGAUAAAGAUGCAUAACUCUUGAACAGAAAAGUAGAAUAUAUCUCAACGAUUUAAAUAGACAUGGUUUUGUAUUAUAUUAUAUGACAUAAAUCAUUUAGACAUCAAAUUGCACGUAGAUUUGUUUGUGUUAUAUUUAAAGGAGUAGUCUAGGACAAAGGUAAACGAAAAAUGUCUAAGAGGAAAUUAAAUGUGUGUGUGUGUGGGACAGACUGCCUCAAGUGGUCAUGUUCAAUAUUCUGGACACUCACUGGAAUAAUAUUCGUUCUUGCUGCAGAACUUACACAAGGGAGUCAUUGCGAGGACGAAGGCGAACAAUGGCUAUUGAUUGCUCUUCCUAUAGUGUCUGCAUGUACAAUGCUGAUUUCAGGAAUAACUAUAUGUUCAGGAAUGGGAGUUUGUUUAAAGUCCCUUUGCUCCGUAAUUUGGGCUUUAAUUGGAAUUGCAUGUACCAGUGUGUCGUGUUAUUUUAUCACUAUGCAUUGCAAAGACAUGGAAGCAGUAUUGAUUGGACUGGUUGUGACUGGAUCCCUCACUAUCUGGAUAGGUGGAUGUGUUAUUGGACGUCUAACUACUCAAGGCGGAGGUUAUAGGGAAAUAUAAACGCAAAGUGGUCUUUUUAUCUCUUAUUUUGUAUGAAUUGAUAUUAUUAAUUUGUCUCCAAGAGACGUUAAUUGGAAUGGCGUGAACAAUGAUUAAUAAUUGCUCUUCCAAUUGUGGGUGCAUGUACCAUGCUGUUUUUGAAGGGAAUAAGUACAGGUAUAUGUACGGGCCGAAAGUAUCUAUGAAUUUUUGCCGUGUUUCUUUUUUACUAAGUAUAACAAAGUCAUGGAAGCCAUAUUGAUUUGACUCGUUUUAACUGGUUCCGGGACGCUCUGGCUAAGAGGAGUUUUAUACUUUAUACUGAACAGUAUUUUGUGUAUAAAUACCUGGUAUCUAAACUGAAAUGUGUUGCUAAAAAAGUGUUUCAUUCAGAUUUUCUGUUUUAACUCAGCAUAUGAAACUAUGUAAUAUGACAAAAAAAUGGUGUUUUACAAAACAAAAUUAUGCUUCACAAAAAUAUUUUUAAAUUGUUAUAACAAAGUAGGUUAGAUAACAAUAUAGGGCUUAUAAGUUUAUGAAAUUCAACUGAGGAAAUACACCAAACAUUUGAAUAAAAAAUAAUAAAAAAAUGAAGAUUAGUCUUUGAUACAUUUAUUUAAUUUUUCAAUGUUCAAAGUAAAAUCUUGAUAGCAACCUGCAUGAUCACCAUUACAUUGGAAUUUGAGGAUUACUGUCAAUAUAUUUUGCUUCUGUGCAACAAUAUACACUUUCAUGAACCACAACAUUUAUAAUCUUGAAAUAUUUUUCUGCCUUAUAUGCCAUGAAUGUAUUGUUUUAUGGAAAAAGAGUUAAGUUGGUCUAAAAAUAAAUGUCCCUAAAAAUUAAGAUAUUUUAGAUUCUAAAAGUCACAGACUGAGUUCUAUGUUUUGAAACCAGCUUUUCCGUAAUUUUUAAUUUUAUUAUUUGAAUUUGAAAACAAAAGUUUAAUUUUGGUAUUAGCUGCAACAAAUCUAGGUUAUCAGUAACCUAUUCU
rnacentral:lncRNA from 1 species